ensembl:lncRNA
AGGAUGGGCCACAAGACGCACGUUGUAGUAAAUACGCAGGUGUGAGUCCUUUCCUGCACCCUGUGAUAAUCUGACCUUUUUUUUCCCCUUUGUUUUAGUGGGAAGAAGCUCAGAAGCACCGAGCUAGUGAAGCAAGCUGGUAGCAAGGAGGGUGCCGUGAGCUCCGUGGCGAGUGCUGAGCAGCGUCUGGGACACACAAUGCAUCGGCAGGAAAGCAGUGCACCUAACAUCAGGCGUCUGCCAAAACUUGAAAGGGUUCUAGACGCGGAUACUUUGCAUUUGACUCUGGAGCGUAGCCUUUGAGGCCAAACUCAGCCUUCAGUGUUAAGUGGCCUAUUCAGCCAGCGCAGGUGACGACGUAUCCUUCAUGAAGAGUUGCCAAGAGGUGGAUGGAAUUGCAAGUCUGGAGGUUUUCACGUUGGGGAGCACAGAAAACACUCUGAGACUGUGGCCUAAGUGCACCAGCAGUCUUCCAGACAGUAACUUUCUCCCUGGUCCUGGAGCCUGUUCUCAAGGCCAAGUGGCGUCCUGGAAGUUACGCCUGGUCAGAGGUGGUGCAUCCUGUUCAGCCGUUUGCAGACUUGGAUCCUAAAAGCGAAGCCUCCAGCUAGCUGGCUCACGUGUAUCUGCACGCUCCUGCAGUCUGAGAGCCCCGUUCGCCAGCGGCAGAGGCAACGUGAUCGCCCCGUCUCCAGGAGCCCG